GGGCAGGUGGCAGAGCGGUUGAAUGCACCGGUCUUGAAAACCGGCAUGGGUGCAAGCCCAUCGUGGGUUCGAAUCCCACCCUGCCCG
rnacentral:tRNA from 1 species